rnacentral:RNase_P_RNA from 1 species
AGAGCCCACCGCGCCGGCGGCAACGCAUGGCGGCACGGUAAACCUCACCGGGAGCAAAACCGAAUAGGGAUGACGCGGCGCUUGACGCCAGCCUGUUUCCAGGCCGGUCAUCCGGGUGGGUUGCGAGAGGCAGCGCGCAAGCGCUGUCCCAGAUGAAUGGCCGCCACGUUCUGCGGGAAACCGCAAGAGCCAUACAGAACCCGGCUUACAGGCCAACUGGUCUU